rnacentral:rRNA from 1 species
CUAUACAUGCAAGUAGAACGCUGAAGAGAGGAGCUUGCUCUUCUUGGAUGAGUUGCGAACGGGUGAGUAACGCGUAGGUAACCUGCCUGGUAGCGGGGGAUAACUAUUGGAAACGAUAGCUAAUACCGCAUAAAAUUGAUUAUUGCAUGAUAAUUAAUUGAAAGAUGCAAUUGCAUCACUACCAGAUGGACCUGCGUUGUAUUAGCUAGUUGGUGAGGUAACGGCUCACCAAGGCGACGAUACAUAGCCGACCUGAGAGGGUGAUCGGCCACACUGGGACUGAGACACGGCCCAGACUCCUACGGGAGGCAGCAGUAGGGAAUCUUCGGCAAUGGGGGGAACCCUGACCGAGCAACGCCGCGUGAGUGAAGAAGGUUUUCGGAUCGUAAAGCUCUGUUGUAAGAGAAGAACGGGUGUGAGAGUGGAAAGUUCACACUGUGACGGUAUCUUACCAGAAAGGGACGGCUAACUACGUGCCAGCAGCCGCGGUAAUACGUAGGUCCCGAGCGUUGUCCGGAUUUAUUGGGCGUAAAGCGAGCGCAGGCGGUUAGAUAAGUCUGAAGUUAAAGGCUGUGGCUUAACCAUAGUAUGCUUUGGAAACUGUUUAACUUGAGUGCAGAAGGGGAGAGUGGAAUUCCAUGUGUAGCGGUGAAAUGCGUAGAUAUAUGGAGGAACACCGGUGGCGAAAGCGGCUCUCUGGUCUGUAACUGACGCUGAGGCUCGAAAGCGUGGGGAGCAAACAGGAUUAGAUACCCUGGUAGUCCACGCCGUAAACGAUGAGUGCUAGGUGUUAGGCCCUUUCCGGG